UGCCAGCCUCCGCGGUAAUACGGAUUGUCCGAUCGUUAUCCGGAAUCAUUGGGUUUAAAGGGUCCGUAGGCGGGAAUCUAAGUCAGUGGUGAAAUCUUGCAGCUCAACUGUAAAAUUGCCAUUGAUACUGGAUUUCUUGAAUUAGUGUGAAGUGAUUAGAAUGUGUAGUGUAGCGGUGAAAUGCAUAGAUAUUACACAGAAUACCAAUUGCGAAGGCAGAUCACUAACACUAUAUUGACGCUGAGGUGCGAAAGUGUGGGGAGCAAACAGGAUUAGAUA
rnacentral:rRNA from 1 species